CUCAUUUUCUUUAUUUCACACGUCCUUUUGUGAUGCUUGCCAUUGUUUAGAAUAAAAGUAGAGAUGGUUGUUGGUAGCUUGAGAUUUGAUAACAUUAAGUAAAAGUAGAGAUGGUUCAGGAGAAAAAAAUCUUUGGAACAUGUUCGGAAGGGAAAUGACUCCGGAGAUUUCCCUGGGAACAAUCUUACCUAUGAAAAGUAGGGUGGCUAGUGGGAAGUAUGGGUUGGGGUUACAAUGGUUGAGAUCCAAAUGAAUUAUAAGACAUUCCCUUAGGGAACUUUGGAAGUAAAUAACUUACGGAUUUUAUUCGUUUACUAAUUGUGCGAAAUGUGAUGUGGGUAUGGUAUCUGAGAGGAAAGUGAAUUGAUUUUUGUUCCCUUGCUGCUUCAGUUUCUAGGUUUUAUAGUCUCUCAUUUUUAAAAAUGCCUUAUUAACUUUUGUUGGUUCACUUUCUAAAUAGGGGACAAUAAAUAAAACUUUUUGCAAGUUUCUAGGUUUCAUAUUACACAUACGUUUCUACCUCUAUUGCAUUAUCAUGGUUGGUAAUAUCUAAGUCAUUUGGAACGUCUUUUUCAAUCAUGUCAUCCGCUAAGUAAAUUGUUUGCUCUGAGAGUGAUACUCGCAAAUAGUUUCUUAAGUGGCAACAAAUAAUAUUCUUAUUGGACCACUACCAAACCCAUAAUUGUUAUUUUUGGAUAUAAGUGUAGCAUCUACAUCACAAUAUCAUGAUUUUGCCUAUGUUCGUGACAACCAUUCAUUUCUAUCACAUUCACAAUCUCUUCUUUGCAUUAUUUUUCAAUAAAAAGUAGAAUUUUACAUACCUCCUUAUUAUAUUUUUCGCUCCCUUUCGCUAAUGCUUUAGGUACCAUGUUCUCACUACUUCCAUGAUCUAUGAUCACAUUGCAUGCUUUGUUAAUGUGGUGCAUCAUUUUGUAAAAAACUUAUCGUGCAUCAAAUUGAGCUCAUUUAUAUCUCCAUAGAUAGACAUUUGAGAAAUCCAUGAUAACUUGCCAUGUGACAUUGUAGCUCAUUAACACUACUCUUUUUUUUUUUUGGAAGAGGAAUGUUAUUAUGUUGAAUUGAAUUACAUUAUAACAUACUAUUGUGUGCAAAAGAAGAUUAUUGCCCAAAAUUAUAAUAUCGUAUUGAAGUAAAUUGAGCCAUAUGUGAUGGUUUGAUGGACAUAUAUUAUUAUGUUGGAGAAACUAUGAUUGUACAUGGGAUGGCUUGAUCAAUGAAAAUCGUCGUUUUGUAGUAAGCUAUAGUGGUGACUGGUG
rnacentral:lncRNA from 1 species